UCUAAGGAUGAAUGAAAGUAAAAUUUCAUUCUAAAUAAUAUACAUCGGUAAUGUUGACCGUCCUCAUUUCUCUUCUUAAAGUAGUGUUUCUCUUGCAUGGGGGCCGGUAGCUCAGUUGGUUAGAGCACACCCUUGAUAAGGGUGGGGUCGAAAGUUCGAGUCUUUCUCGGCCCACCAAUAUAAGAUCAUGGGGGAUUAGCUCAGCUGGGAGAGCGCCUGAUUUGCAUUCAGGAGGUCAGCGGUUCGAUCCCGCUAUCCUCCACCAAAAACACUUAGCUAUAAUAAAUUGUAAAUAAAAAUAAUAAUUAAUAUCAAUAUCUAUAUCCGAACAUUAGUAAUGUUAUUAGCUAAUGUUCAAAAUAAAAAUUUGAUUCAACACAGAAUUUUUUUCUG
rnacentral:tRNA from 1 species